UAGUGAUCUGACGGUACUGAGUGGAAAGGCCGUCACUCAACGGAUAAAAGUUACUCUAGGGAUAACAGGCUGAUCUCCCCCAAGAGUUCACAUCGACGGGGAGGUUUGGCACCUCGAUGUCGGCUCAUCGCAUCCUGGGGCUGGAGAAGGUCCCAAGGGUUUGGCUGUUCGCCAAUUAAAGCGGUACGUGAGCUGGGUUUAGAACGUCGUGAGACAGUUCGGUCCCUAUCUGCCGUGGGUGUCGGAAAAUUGAGAGGAGCUGCCCCUAGUACGAGAGGACCGGGGUGGACGUAUCUCUGGUGGACCUGUUGUUGCGCCAGCAGCAUAGCAGGGUAGCUAUAUACGGAAGGGAUAACCGCUGAAUGCAUCUAAGCGGGAAGCCCCCCUCAAAACCAGUUUUCCCUUGAGAGUCGUGGAAGACCACCACGUUGAUAGGCCAGAUGUGGAAGCGUGGCGACACGUGAAGCUGACUGGUACUAAUUACUCGAUUGUCUUGAUC
rnacentral:rRNA from 11 species